rnacentral:tRNA from 1 species
GCCGGGGUGGCACAACCUGGUACUGCGCUAGGCUUGAGACCUAGUUUCCUUACGGAUUUGCUGGUUCGAAUCCGGCCCCCGGCG